rnacentral:lncRNA from 1 species
AGCGUAGUUCUUUAAUCUACAGCUUUCCGAUGAAACUAUCACCAGACAACCAAUGCACCUCUAAGCCUCCAAUUCAGUAUUUACAGGGCGUAUUUACAGAGAACUUGCUGGGCUAGACCAUCUGUAGCUAGACCAUCUGUAUUUUCAGAAUGUCAUAUGAGAAGUUUGUUAAUCCAUGGUGUAGACUCCAGCCAGAGGAUUAUGUUGUCUCGUCAAACUCCAUCUUCUGCAUUGAAUUACAAAGUGGGUGUUCAAUUAAGUGUCCAUCAGAGAAAAUAACAUUUCGUGAAGGACUGGUAAAAUUGAUCACAAUUGCCAUCAGCUAUUAUACAUUUAUUUAUCAGAGACUAUUAUUCUGGAUGAAACUUGAGACAACACAGGCCUAGC